AGCUUUGCGCAGUGGCAGUAUCGUAGCCAAUGAGGUUUAUCCGAGGCGCGAUUAUUGCUAAUUGAUCUAACAUCUUUGCCCAUAUACAUGAGCAUGAAAAAAAACUCUUAGAUGUGGAAUAGCUGGAAAAAGUAAAUACAU